rnacentral:sRNA from 1 species
GCUCUCCUUGUAUUGGUCAAAAGUCAUCAAACUGAGCAGUUAUACCCAGCAUACUAUGGAAUGGAAAUACGUCACGAGUGGAUGGGAAUCGGACGGACAGUUAACAGAGCAUACCCACAAGAUGACCAGAACUACCAGCCUGGGGCCACCACCCAGUCUUGACAGACUAAAGGGGAAAGAACCUUCUCCAAGAGAGUUGGGUGUGAACGAACUCUUACGGCACAGCUGAGAAGCGUGCCAGGCUCAUUCCGUUAAAUAAGAGGAGAACACACAGCAAUCAAGAGCGUUAAAGAAAAAUCCAACGUGGCCAAGCGGGGAUUGGAACCCAGGUCUCUUGUGUAGAAUCUGGGGCUCAAGGGCACUCUGCCUGCUUGCCUCACAGAGUCCCUCUGUCAUCAGCCGCCACACUGACUACCUCUGCCUGCCAGCCCUGGGUCCUUUCCAAGAAAAGACAAAGCUGCAAACAAGCAGUAAUGACAUUGAUUAUUCCAAGCCAGAGGCAGGGGAUUUUGGAUCAUUUCCUUAAAAUGCUUGCUCAGCAACACUGAGGUCCUCACCCCAACCACCCUUAGUCCCAGGAAAUAAAUGUACAGUACGCCAUUGA